rnacentral:rRNA from 1 species
AACGUAGGUCCCGAGCGUUAUCCGGAUUUACUGGGCGUAAAGCGCGCGUAGGCGGCUACUUAAGUCGGAUGUGAAAGCCCUUGGCUCAACUGAGGAAGUGCACCCGAAACUGAGUGGCUUGAGUACUAAAGAGGGUCGCGGAAUUCCCGGUGUAGAGGUGAAAUUCGUAGAUAUCGGGAGGAACACCGGUGGCGAAGGCGGCGACCUGGGUAGAUACUGACGCUGAGGCGCGAAAGCGUGGGGAGCAAACAGG